rnacentral:rRNA from 1 species
UACGUAGGGGGCAAGCGUUGUCCGGAUUUAUUGGGCGUAAAGAGCGUGUAGGCGGUUUUACAAGUCCGCUGUGAAAACUCGAGGCUCAACCUCGAGCUGUCGGUGGAAACUGUAAGGCUAGAGUCCGGAAGAGGAGAGUGGAAUUCCUGGUGUAGCGGUGAAAUGCGCAGAUAUUAGGAAGAACACCAGUGGCGAAGGCGGCUCACUGGUCCGAUACUCACGCUGAGGUGCGAAAGCGUGGGGAGCAAACAGG